AGCACAGUCCCGCAGACGGCUGAGCGUGCGGCUGCGGGAGCUUCUGUGGGAGUACGGUCAUGAGCCUUUUGCUGUACUAUGCCCUCCCCGCCCUGGGCAGCUACGCCAUGCUGUCCAUCUUCUUCCUGCGCCGGCCUCACCUGCUGCACACACCCAGGGCUCCCACCUUCCGCAUCCGCCUGGGGGCCCACCGAGGAGGAUCUGGAGAGCUGCUGGAGAACACCAUGGAGGCCAUGGAGAAGUGAGUGUAUCUGCCCCUGCCCAGGUUGCCAUGUGAGGGUGUGCAGGUCGUGGACUGCAUCACAGCAAGGGACGCCAUUCACUUCCUAGCUGGGUGACUGGCGCCCCCUGGAGGUGGCCUGCACAUCCCGCCAUGAACUCUGCUCUCAUUCCCGGCCACCUCCCCGCCACCAUGCCCCUCAUCCCAGUCCCCUGCCCCCGCCCCCCGCUGACCUUCACCCCCACAGCUCCAUGGCCCAGCGCUCGGACCUCCUGGAGCUCGACUGUCAGCUGACACGGGACAGAGUGGUGGUGGUUUCACACGAUGAGAACCUGUGCCGCCAGUCGGGCCUGAACAGGGAUGUGGGCAGCCUGGACUUCGAGGACCUGCCCCUCUACAAGGAGAAGCUGGAGGUUUACUUCUCUCCAGGCCACUUUGCUCACGGGUCAGACCGGCGCAUGGUUCGUCUGGAGGACCUGUUCCAGAGGUUUCCAAGGACACCCAUGAGCGUGGAGAUCAAAGGGAAAAACAAAGAGCUCAUCCGUGAGAUAGCAGGCUUGGUGAGACGCUAUGACCGUAAUGAAAUCACCAUCUGGGCCUCGGAGAAGAGCUCGGUCAUGAAGAAAUGCAAGGCUGCCAACCCCGAGAUGCCCCUGUCCUUCACAAUAAGCCGAGGAUUCUGGGUGCUGCUUUCCUACUACCUGGGGCUGCUUCCCUUCAUCCCAAUCCCUGAGAAGUUUUUCUUCUGCUUCCUGCCCAACAUCAUCAACAGGACCUAUUUCCCAUUUUCCUGCUCUUGCCUGAACCAGCUGUUGGCUGUGGUUUCGAAAUGGCUGAUCAUGAGGAAGAGUCUGAUCCGACACUUGGAGGAGCGAGGGGUGCAGGUGGUCUUUUGGUGCCUUAAUGAAGAGUCAGAUUUUGAAGCAGCCUUCAGCGUGGGAGCCACUGGCGUCAUGACGGAUUAUCCCACAGCCCUGCGGCACUACCUGGACAACCAUGGACCAGCUGCCCGGACCUCCUAAGUCCAGAAGCCUCAAGCUCUCCUGUUUCUCUUCCUGAAAAAUAAAUAUUUGCCUUUGGAUCA
rnacentral:sRNA from 1 species